rnacentral:lncRNA from 1 species
GUUUUUUGUAUUCCCAUCACUGACUUCCCCCGUUCUGUUCAGCAUAAAAUAACAGUAGCAUGGGCAGAAUUCCUCCCAGUCAUUACCGGUUACCCGUGUCCUCCCUUUUUUCCUUGCCACAACAGCCGUGAGAAGGCCAUCGUAUUCGAGGCUGUCUUCACAACCCACACAGUCCGGCGAACUGUUGCUUCCUCAGUGUCUCUCGAGGGUUUUAAAACAAGAUGGAGGCUACACCCACAACAUCCAUGUCCGCUGGAGGGGCGAGCGAGGUCGGGAAGAGAAAGUUUACAGGUUUUCGGCAGAAUGGUUCACGACUCUCAGCUGGGUUCCUCUCCGCCGCGCUUUGCCUGGCGGCUCUUGUAUGUCUCUUUUCAUUCGAUUGCGGUACAUCUCCGCUCUGCACAGCUGAGGCUUCCGUUGUUCCCCGCGUUGAUGCCGGGAUGCCCGAGGCUGACACCAAUUCUGAUGCUGACCACUCAGAGAACGGGAUUCAAGUAGAUGGAGACAGCCUACCAGGAGACGCAGAGGCUGCAAGAAAAGAGGAAGAUUCCGACGACGGAUUGGUUCGGAGCAGUAUGACUCUCACAUCUCGAGGACGGCGCCAACCUUUGGGCGGCAUUGCUGGUUUCGCCCUGACGCGUUCCGUACUGGCUCGUCACCAGAAAACGAUAGCUGCAGCCGCUGCCGGGGUCAUGUCUGUCGUCUUACUUGCGAUGCUUCUCAAGAUGGGCAAAAAAGCCUCCGGAAAACCAACACGAAAAUUACGUGAGUCUCCAUCUACUUGCAUCCGGAAUCUCUCAGAACGCCACAACCGUCGAUGGAACGUAUCCUAAGACCAGGACGUUGAUGCUCCGUGCUCAGGAGGUUCAGGUCUGAAAUGUAUUACAUACUCUCUUUUUUCAUCUAUCACUUUCAGUUGGUUUGGUUUUACGUUGCCUACUGAUGCUCAGCUGUGGUGUGAGUUGCGGACGACACCGCCACGCUAGUCUAGCAACUCUACAUCCCUACACAAACAUCCCGGCUUAAUUCGACGAGAAAGGUUGCCCGUUCAAGUCUUCACUGUGCUUGCCAGGGCGUUGGUUUUUUAGUUCGCGCGCCCCAGACAGUCACGUUUGCUGGGGUACGGGCUGAGGUGGCUCGAAACUUCCAAGGGAGAAAAGACAGCUUCUCGGCUUUCGGCAAACACAACACGUCAUUCACGCGGCCGAAGGCUCGUACUCUAAGCAUGCAGGUUUCAUCUUGACGGUUCUCGCUCUCGUUAGGGUACCGGUAAGCCGACGCUGCUUGCAGGAGAGGCGUGAGAGUCCGUUGCAGAGUCCCCCCGCGACGUGAUUGGAUCACUCCUCGGGAGUUCCCGUUCUUUGAUUUUUUCGCUUGAAGGGCUGAAGAGAGAAAGAAUUUGCAGGUUACUGACCCGUGACAGUCGUUUCGUGUCGGAAGUCCGCGGGCAAACGCUGAUAUGUUGCCUUCCACAACGAAACAGUCGGAAUGAAGGGGUUACACGAUGCACUGGAUGGAUGGUCCGAACUAGAGUCACGACAGGCUGCGGCCGCGGAGCUCAUUGCUUUCUCGCCUCGAAGCUGAGUUUUCCAGUGGACUUCGUAACGAUCAAGUGAGGGUGUCGAGUAGGGGGUGAAGCGGCAUUGGUGAAUCGGAUGUAAACGAAUAGAGUUUUGUCCGCGGCGAUAACUGAUCGAAAUCUCCUGACGUCUCAUAGGCCACAGGGAACUUCCCCAACACGAUUGAGGGACAGAGAGGUGGACAUAAUUAGUGUAUGGUUUGGACCUACUGAUAUCCUACGCCAUCAAGGUUAUACCACGUCGGCAGCAAAAAGUGUCGGAUUUCAAUAUGCUACCGCCCUCCGGCGGUUUCAGCGUUUGCGAACAAUGGAUUCUCGGGUGCCCUGACAAUGUUCUCCGUUCUUGCUUUCCAAAAAGAACGGCGCCCGUAAUGAGCCCAUCUGAAGGCGACCGUGAGGCAACAACGUGUGGAUCGAUCCACUCUUGAUAAACAGUAGAGGGCCUCAGGUGAUCGUAUCUGCCACGAUUCGCGGAGCUUGCCGCUUGCGUGUCACGAUGACUUCCGGCGUUCUGGGUGGACUUUCCCGAGAUAGUUGGAUCUGGCCUCCUGGAAACAGGGCUGGUAUCGGACAAACCUGGCCGCACCGAUCGCACACCAACACUUGGGCGAUGGCCGUGCCUUCCACGGCGGAGUUGAAUUCAGUUUUCUUUGCAGUGUGUUCAUGACUUCGAUGGCAGCGACAAGACUGAGCCACGCAUGUGAACUGUGUAUGGAGGGAUCAGUUCGGGUGACUGGUGUUCUUUGUCAAGCUCACUGAGCGAUAAUCGCCCUUAGCAUUCACUGUAAUUCGUGCACAUCAUGUGCUGGUUGCCUUCGUGCAGACCCUUGCGGAUGUAACUCCAAGCUGCUUUACUAGUGGGAAGUUUUCGAAUCAACUUCAGGGGUGAAGAGAGAUGUGUCGCUGCUGCGAGAGCAAAAUGGUGACAGAAGGAGAUCUCUCGAAACUUCUUCAGGAAAGCGGUGCCUGAGGAAAACGCUGUAUGAGAGGUGCUCAGAACACACCAGUCGUGCCAGCAGCAACGAGGCCUCCCGCAGAAAGACGAGGACUUCCUAAGCGUUUACAUCGCUGACGCUGUCGGGGAAGGAACCACGGCGCAUCGCCAUCUUUGGGAAAUGCCGCUGAGGUCAACUCACGAAGAGCCCUCGCUUUGAAACACGAUCGGAUUGUUGAACAGACGUGACGCGGAACGUCAGCGCUCAAUGCAACUGGAGUCAGUAUACCCGCUGCACUGUGCGGCCACGUGCAUCCAUUUUAAAAAUCUGCCACGCGCGCAAUACCCACGUCGGUUGGUCUGCAGGCGGGUCAAUAAGCAAGUGCGUUUCUAAGUGACUUCGUGCCCAUGGGCGGGGGCGCCUAGAGUAAUGAACACCGUGUCAUGUUCAGUCCCGCUCGUAUCACGAGCGGGCGUGCGUCGCGGCAGCCUGUGCACCGUUAUCGAGAUGACGUCGGGUACCGCUGCUGGAAACGUGCUGGCUGGGCUAGCAGCGGCUGCCGUCGUUGUAACGCUCUACAUGCUUACAGUAAGCGUCAGCUGUGGAAAUACGCAUCUGGUUUCACGUCUCUGGCCACGAAGCAUCUGACUAAGGCAAGCCCUCUGAUCAAGAGCCCCGUCCACCCGCAAGGCCAGCUGCGGGCCGACGCCACAGUGGUCGCGUGCCUUUUAUGCUAUGGGGAUUUUAAAAAGUAGUAAUAAAAGUAUAUUACGGAUUUUUAGUUCUAUUAUUAAAUUAUUUAGAAAGCAUCCUCACUAGCCAAGGAGGUUCCAAAGUGAGAGCACUGCGUCCAGAAGAAGCUUCACUGAGAGGGUUUCGCGGCCAUCAUGCCCUGGCAGCUGUGUUUUCGAGAAUCCUGUAUCAAACGUUGGGAAUGCACGGACGUUUGUUCUGUGUUUGGAUAUACACUGACAGAACCGUUGUGUUCUGCCGGCGGUCCCUCGAACUGAGUGAUGGAUCUCACGGCCGCAGCACAACUCGGUUCUCUCUCGAUCGGUUUCAGAUGCUGGUUCAAGGGUGUCGCAGCCCGCGACAAAUUACUGGUGAUGAUCCUCCGCCAGUCGACCAUUCUUGUAUCACACCCGGAGCGAUUACGUGUGCGGACCGGAUAUGUGCUGUACGCGCGUGCUGAGAAUGGGGAUGACGACGUUGCUAUUGGAGUGCAGCUCUGUCGCAUCGGUGGAGCCACCUGGCGUUGCCGAAGAAAUACUUCGGCUUCCAAAGAUACAAUAGGAUGGUUUGAUGAGAAUCCCAGUUUAGUUUCGUUGGAGUGUUGUGCGGUGCUCUGCUGCCUGCGACGUCUGAGUAGAGCCAUCCACCGACUAGGAAGGCGUUGUGCACACAGCUGGAACGCGCGCAAGAGCAGGCACACACUAUGUAUAUGGCUGACGAUUGCGGAUUAAACAAGAUGAUGCCUACUACUGGUAACGGCUGGCGCUAACAGAGGAGGAUUCAGAUAACACUGUGCGUGACAUGUAGUAUUCAAGAGGGGGGGAGGCUGUGUCUUCAUGUGAACGGCUGUGGCGACGAGUGUACCAAUUUUGCGGGAUAUUGUGUGCAUUUCCGUACCCGUGCAUAAGGGCGGAGUUGGUCACAUGGGCCGCAGAAGGAUCGCCGAAGAGCGCUGGGCACAGACCGGUAGGAAUCGUGAGCUCGGGCAGCAGGUGUGGCAGCGUGGGUGACAGCUUCAUUUAACUUUGCCGUCCUCGUCCCGAAGAGGUGUCAUUUCUCCGAGAAUGCGUGGGUCACCGUCUCGGUCGAGUGCGAACUGGCGCAGGAGCGAAGCCCCGACCCGAGGGGACUGCAGCCACAGAAGUUCAGUUGUAGUUUCCAAAGUGGAAAGCUGAGUGCGAGUGGGCCCAAAUUGAUCACGCGGGAGAAGGAUUUUUUUAGGGCCCGAGCGCUUGGACAACGUCAUAAGAAAGCAAGUUUUUUAGCAGCACGCUUGGCAGCGGCAGGAGUCUGCAUGAAUGCCACUAUGUAGCUGAGUCUUCACCCUCCACAGAGGAGCCAGGUAAGUGGACUCGAGUGAUAUUCCCUGGCUGCGUGCGAAGGUCUGUGGAGAGACGCUCGGGGGUGCUGGUGGCAUCGUGGAGAUUGUUGGUGAGGUUGACAGGAGAGGAUUUUGUUUUAUCAACGUGAAUUUACGUGUGUUUGCAGUCGCAGCUAGGGAGCGUCUAUCUCAUACAGUGUUUCACACCAUCUGCUUGUUUUUGAAUUUGAAGCAUCAUGGGACACCAAUCGCUCAACAUUUCGGAAUUAUUUGCGCAGAUUUUCCGAGAGGAGACCGGGCAUGGCCUGCCUGGGGGCUUACGAUGUAGUGUGGCAUAGGCAAGCAGUCGAUUCUGCACGGCUGUGAAUGGGCGCACAUCCAGGAUACACCGUUCAUCUAUUCAGCUAUUGGGGAAUAGUAUCGUGUGUUCAGGCGAGUACUGGUUGCUGAUGGAGAGUUAUGGGGACAAAGGAUGUUGUGGUUCUGUGCUUGCCACGUCGGAAUAGUCGUGACAGUUGAAGACGUGCCCUACAGCCUAACUAGCAAUCCUCACUCGGAAAGUUGCUUCAUUGGGACGGAUGGGCGUGUGUGUGUGUCUUUGGUGGCAGCCCGUGAGCAUCUAUCUUUUCUGGGUGCCUUGACUGACUGCAGCACUUUGUUUUUCUGUCGUAGUCUGUCGUUGUCUCAGUGGGCUGCGAGCGAAUUAUUUACCGAACUGAAGACGAGAAAGGACGAAGAAGAGUAGGGCCUGGCUCUGAUCAGAGAAUAACUGAAGAUGAACAGCGAAGGUUGCUUGAGCUACAGAGCCACACACAUAGGUGGGGACACGAGUUGAAAGUCAUGGCCUGCAACUGGGCAGGACCGGCGGACUGACACUCAGUUGGCUGAUCAUAGCUCCGGUCUCUUGAGCACAAGAAGAUGCGCAUAGCUAGGACACUGGCAAAGGCUGUAUAUUUCGAAGAGUGGGAAUGACCGCUAGGCACGAUAUAGGCUCUUCUCCCGGCGGGAGAGCCUUGGCGUGGAAAUUUGAGACAGUGCAUCAUCACCCGGCCACAGUGCUUUGUUGCGUCAACCCUUGUACUUCCGUGUGAGCAACAGAUGCGUUGUGUCAAAUUGGAAAAGGGGUCAUGUUAUGACACAUAUCUAGUGUCCUGCCACAUCCGCCGAGCCUGGCCCUUGAGUUUGCCGUAGGAGCGACCAGUACAUCUGAUUGAACAAUUCUCGACGAGCUGUAGCUUCGUGGGCAGCUUCCGCACAGUGGCUACGAUCACUGCAUUACAUCCCACCGAAAUACGUAUGUCAUAAUCUGAACAGAAACUACAGGUCGCCUCCCCCUGUGUCGGGGAGUGACCAGUGGCUCAUGAGCAUGGUCCAUAGGCGCCCGUAUCUGCAUGCCUCCUCUUGUUUUCUUGUACUCCGUCCGACUCUCCUAACGGUGCGACUGCACUUCGUACCUUAGCAAAGGCGUACCUGGCAUUGCCAUCUUAAUAUCCGCUCGGUGUCUAGGUGAAUCAGCUGAGGAACACAAGCCUGGAGAUGGCGCUAGACGAGAUACGAAUUCCGACUUCACAGGUCGUAGAAGUAAGUGCGAUUGUCUCGGGGGAGUUACUAAUUGUUGACGAUGACACCAGAAAGGGAUAUAAAGACACUGUGCACCUUAGGUCACCGGCGCGCCGGAGACGAAGCUCUUCCCCUAACCCAAUGCAGGAUUUCGGGCCCUGGGGAUCUCGAAACAGUACAGAGUGCCGGUGAGAGAGCCCAUCUCAGCGACAACGCAACGGUGGCAUGAAACGUGAUUGGGUCUGAAGUGAGACACCAACCGUCUACAUCGGAUUGCGUUUUGCUUUGCGCGGAUCC